GUGGAAAUGCCUCUGCACUGCAGAACUUUCAGUUUCAAGAUUUUGCAAAUUUUAUGAGACUUUUCAGGCAAGCUGAUUUUUAGCUCCCCAUUUCCCCUCCAGCUAAAAUCAAAAUCUUUCAUCCAGCUCUGAUCUCAGAGGGACUUUAUUCUCAGCACUUGGGACAUGAUUAAAUAACAAGCACACGUGCACACACCAGCCCCGAAUCCUUUUAUUUCCUAGAUCUUUCUUCAGUAAUGAAGCCUGAAAUGGAAAACUACUGUGCAGAGAAACCAUAGCUGCAAGAGAAAGAGGACUAGACAGUGCACAGCUCGGCUUCUUCUGGGCAGAGGGUACAGCAAGUUCUGAACAGAAAGGAGGUUUCAGUGAAGUAUGAAAUGAAACAAAUC
rnacentral:lncRNA from 1 species